CCUACGGGAGGCAGCAGUGAGGAAUAUUGGACAAUGGGCGCAAGCCUGAUCCAGCCAUGCCGCGUGCAGGAAGACGCAUCUAUGGUGUGUAAACUGCUUUUGUACGGGAAGAAACACUCCUACGUGUAGGAGCUUGACGGUACCGUAAGAAUAAGGAUCGGCUAACUCCGUGCCAGCAGCCGCGGUAAUACGGAGGAUCCAAGCGUUAUCCGGAAUCAUUGGGUUUAAAGGGUCCGUAGGCGGUUUGAUAAGUCAGUGGUGAAAGCCCAUCGCUCAACGAUGGAACGGCCAUUGAUACUGUCAGACUUGAAUUAUUAGGAAGUAACUAGAAUAUGUAGUGUAGCGGUGAAAUGCUUAGAUAUUACAUGGAAUACCAAUUGCGAAGGCAGGUUACUACUAAUGGAUUGACGCUGAUGGACGAAAGCGUGGGGAGCGAACAGGAUUAGAUACCCUGGUAGUCCACGCCGUAAACGAUGGAUACUAGCUGUUCGGAGCAAUCUGAGUGGCUAAGCGAAAGUGAUAAGUAUCCCACCUGGGGAGUACGUUCGCAGAAUGAAACUCAAAGGAAUUGACGG
rnacentral:rRNA from 1 species